GGUUAAGUUAAUAAGGGCGCACGGUGGAUGCCUUGGCACUAGAAGCCGAUGAAGGACGUGACUAACGACGAAAUGCUUUGGGGAGCUGUAAGUGAGCAAUGAUCCAGAGAUGUCCGAAUGGGGGAACCCGGCAGGUAAUGCCUGUCACUCAUUACUGUUAAGGUAAUGUAGAGGAAGACGCAGUGAACUGAAACAUCUAAGUAGCUGCAGGAAGAGAAAGCAAAAGCGAUUGCCUUAGUAGCGGCGA
rnacentral:rRNA from 1 species